UUAUAAUUUUAUUUGCUGUUUUUAAUUGUCUUUUAAUUCCUGCAUUUUAUUUCACUUUAUUGUAUGAAAUGUUAUAAUGUGAAGCACUUUGAGUCUGCCUUGUGUAUGAAAAGUGCUAUACAAAUAAAAUUGCCUUGCCUUGCUUUACACAGGACUGCUAGGGAUUUUUCAGGAAACAGCUAAUACAUAAUUACAGUUGUGGAGUUGCAGUUAAAUUUACAGCUGCAUUAAAAUCAAAACUAAAAUAAAGUGAUUAAUUAGUUAUAAUUAGAAUGUCUCCAUGUAUUAGGAACUUUUUGCCUGGAGCCAAGCCUUUUGGUGCAUUUAUUGGACACUUCUGUUGAAUGAUGAUACGCAUUUGGUGCAAAUUUAUACUUAAAGUAAAUGAGAGUGUCUAUGAUCAUCGUUAUGCGGGGACAAAUGUUUGUAUUGGUUGUGCUAAAUUGAACAUUUUAGGUGCACUUUCCUGGUAAACAAGUGAUUAAAAGCUUCUAUCCUUGCAGCAGAAGUGAGAGGCCUCUAUUGAGUGGACCAGUGGUGCCUCUUCCUCUCAGCCUAGAGAGCUGAAUACAUGUUACUAUUUAAUUACAUCACUAUUUUUUAAGAGCCUAAAUACACCCAUUGUCAUGCAGUUUGCAUUAGCAUGCUUGCAGAGGCUGAAAUAGAAGAGCAUUGGUUGUAUAUCUCUUGGCGACAGGGCACCUUGAUUCUUUUGGUUGCAAUUGAAAUUAUGCAGGAGCCCAGUUUUCUUUUUUUUCAUGUCUGCAUUUACAUGCUGUCCCACAGUCUGCCCCCCUGAGUUAUAUCAGGGUGCUUUAUCACCUGAAAUAAAGCAGAGGUAAAUGUUGCUGAGAAAGUGUAAAACAUCGGCCACUCUGCAGUGUAUCGUGUAUGUGUGUGUGUGUGUGCAUGUGUAUGUGUGCGCGUACGCCCGUGUGUGUGGUAUUUAAUGCUCUAAAUCUUGAGCCGGUAUGUGUGUGUAAACUAUGAGCAUUCUGCAGACUCUGCUUCUCAUGUCGUCCCCGUUUUGCUGAGGAUGCACUUUCGACUCAGGGCUGCAGGAGGUCACUGUCUGACAGAGCACACACACGCGCACACACACACGCACACCUGCACACACAUAAAAAGACACAUGCCCACGUUUGUACCUUUCCUGACAUUUGGAACGCACAUGGAUCCGAAUUCCAGUAAAAGGAGUAUCCCCUGGUGACAUUUACCUGGGUUAUCAGAAAUUAGUUAAGGUCAGCUUUAUAACUUCUGAAAACCAAGGUGGAUAACAGAGCUGAAUCCAUCUAUACCAUGCCAGUGCUCUGUGGAGCGGCACAGCAAGGCGUGUGGGUGCGCUGAACAGAAAUACCACAUGAACAUUUUGAUAAACACUGUGUGAAAAACAUGUCUAGAAUACUCCGCUUAUCCUCUAGAACCAUGCUUAUACAGUUUGAAAAUUGAAAACAGUUUUUUUAUACCCUCUGUUAAGGUCCUAGAUUGUGUUUGCUAUACCCAUGGUGCCUCUGUUAUCUUGUUUGUCCUCUAACAGUUUUGAGAUCCUUCAUUUCGGGAUGUUUUGGCGAACUUUUGAAUCCCUCUCGAGAGGCUGACUCGGAGAAAACCAAACUCUGGGGAAUAAUUGGGGGUACAUCAAAGUACUGGGCUCAGAAAUAUGUGGUAAAUACAAACUUAAUUGUGUAUGUGUUGUUUGCGUGUGUUUGUGUCUAUAUGUCUGCAGCUGAGAGGUAAUGAGGACCGGUGAAGGGUUUUUCAGAAGAGCCUGCUGCAUUCAUUCAGAUUAUUUGUUUUGCAGACGCUUUUCUGCAAAACAAAUAAUCUGAAUAUAUUCCUCAUACAUCUCACACAUCGUGUUGUAUAGUAAUGAGAAAAUGCACGGACAAAAGAAGCCCCAACCUUUACAGCUCACAGAUGCAAAUGGCCUCAUCAGAAAGCAAACCUCAUUGGCUCACUUAGAAUCCGUUCAUAGGAAGGGACAGAAAUAUUCAGGUCAUGUACCACUAGCGUAAGUUAUUUCUUUCUCUCUCACUCCCGCCCGCCCCUUUCGUCUACGACUUAACUGACCAGACUGGAAGUGGUUGACCGCGGAAAAUCACCAAUCAUUUAAUGAAACAACACAAAGCCAUUAUUCAAUAUCACAGCACAAUCAAUAUAAUCAUUCUGUGGGUAAUUGACGGGGUAUGUAGUGAAACAAGUAAAAUCCAAUAAAGAAAAAAGAGAUCAAGCAAUGCUGAACUACCAUUCAUAACAGCCGUGCUUAAAACAUAUUUUCUCUAUUGGGCUUUCUGCACAAACGUCAGCACCUCCAAGUAGCUACGAGCAGCUGAAGAAAAGGAGGCUAAUCUGGAAAACAGGAAUUCGGUUGUUCUGCACAAGAUACAGUCCUUCUUUCAAGCUGUGCAGAGCUGAGAUAACUACGGUGAACCCUUUGCCAAUUGGACUAGACCGGAGCGGGCUUCAUUGCUGCGUCACUGGAAGUCCUCAAGUAUUAUUUGGGGAAUGUGGAACGGAUACAGGCAGGUGUAAGGACGCUGGCUUUGAAAGCUCCAGGCUGUGAGUAGAGGUUUUCUGCUUCUUCUGUACUCAGCAUUUCCUGAGGCUCGUGGAAACAAACUUUGUCCCAGGCCAACACAAAAGAGAUUUCCUUCCUCUCAGCACAAUUCUGUUUUUAUUGCGGCCGAAAUAGCUUUUCAGUGAAUACAUACCCAGUGGAAUUCUAUUAUCUAUCAUGCUACCACAUAGCCAACAUUCAAGCUCAUGCCAUUCGGAGUGUACACACAGAGGGAUGCGAAGAUGUGCUCCAGAAAAUGAAACUGAGCUUGAGAAACAACAACAAGCAGACAGAUUCAGGGUAUCCUGCUCUUUGUGCAGAGAGGGAAACAUUAAUAAGGGCUCAGAGAGGUGAUGGAGAGGAUGAUUGAGGACCUCAAGAGACUUUACCUGCUCCCCGAGUUCUCCCUGUGGUGAGUGGAAUAAAACACUUCAACAGGGUGUAUUUAAAUGAUUUGCUAAUUAUACGGUAAGAUUCCUAAUUAAGGUAACAAUUCCUGAAUAUUAUUGUCAAAAUGUCAAAAUGUAACACAUUUAGUUGCUGCGCUGAAAACCCCCCAGUAGCUACUUUUGAUGUGUGGUGAGAUGCAACGCUAUGUUAAGAUUUUUUAAAAAGGCUAUUACUUUAAUUUUAUGCGUCAAAUGGAUGCCGGUAAGUGGAGCUUCCACAUUGAUGAAGGUUUGGUGCUGGAUGAACAGCACAAGCAAACAAACAUGGACGGAUAGAGUGUGCUCCCGUGGUGUGUGUGUGUGUGUGUGUGUGUGUGUGUCUGUGCGGUUCGCUCAACCUUUCGCUGAACACAGAAGAGACUUGCGCUCUUUCUAUUGUUUACCUUCCAUCUCUCUUCCUCUACUACCUCACUUGUAAGUUCAUGAAGUGAACUUCAAAAAACCCUGAAAUACAGUUACAUUGUUCUGAUCUUGAACUUGAAACACUACGCAUAGCCGCGGUUUCAAGCUCAGCUCAGCAGACAUUGUAGAGAUUAGUUUACUGUCUCUAAUACCAGUGUUAAAUAUUUUUCAAUACAGCAUGAUGUCCAUUUUGUAAAAAUAGACCGUACAGCAGGGUGUGAUUUAUGGGAUGCUACAUUCAGUUUUUACUGUUUUUUUUCCCUUAGUGGGACUUAAACCCUUUUACAGUGUGUUUUUAAUUCAUGAAAGAUAAUAAGCUUUUUUGUGUUAUUCAUCAUUCUGUGGUGCUCAACUCCACCCUCUUGUGUGGCCGGUUUUUCAAUCAAUGGCUUAUGUGGAAAUCAUUAGUUGUGUGAUGGUUUUAAUCACUCGCAAUUAAAUUUUCAAAAAUGUCAUCACAAUUAAAAAUAAUACUAGAACUACUGUACUUGUUAUCAGCACUUCUUUCACACAUGUGUGAAACUUCUACCCAAUCUAAAUACAUAAAGAUAUCACCACAGUUAUUUAAACAACAGAUUGGAAAUUGAACAAUUAUUGUUAUCAUUAUCAAUAUGUUGUUGUCAACGCUGUUUAACUUUGUGUUGGUCCACUACCGUCGUCGGUCACUUAAAAGUCCUGGUUUGGGGGUUUAAAAAUGUUAAACCGAUCCAAUCUUGAGGAUCCAUUGAAUUUGUAUGCGCCGCAUCACCCUAAACAUUUGCCUCGCAUUCUGUUUUCAACAGUCUGCAACUGUACCGGAGGUUCUGUGAUGUGAUUGUUAAGCCGCUGGUGCAAAAAGUAAAUGUGCUAUCAUGCCCACAUACUCAAUUAGUCAUACAUCUUUAGACGCGGUUAGUUUGUUCAAUGACUUUGAUCUUCCUACGAAAAUAUCUGCAUUAUAAACACACAAAUACUCCAUGGACAUCAGACAUCAUAGACGCACUUUGGAAAAACAAGUGGACUCUUUUUAACAUUGAGCCGAAUGAAAUUAAACAAUUAGGGAGUUUGUGUUACUGUGGUUUUUACCAGUUUAUAUCUCUAUUUGGCCAGCUAAAGCUAUCCCUGCAUGCAGUUUGUCCGUGGGAGUUCUCAUAAUUUAUUCACAUCGAGACAUUGGCUGUUUCUGUGGGAAGGAGCAAGAAUAUGUCUCACGAUAUCUAGAGAAUGAACCUACUUGCAUUCAUCAAAUUGGUCAAAUAGGCCACAGUAGUGUAUGAGGGUAGUUGUCUUGGUAUUCUAACUGAGCUACAAUGUCACCCUGAUAAACAAAUUUUCUGCAUUCCUUAUGCACAGACAUAGAGAAGAGGAUGAGUAUGGUGAGCAGCGAGGGACAGUAAUUGAACCCCAGAGUUAUUGAUUAUGCCAGAGUAUCACUACGGGAGACAUACAGCCUGGAUAGGUUAACUCAGAAAAGCAUGUACUGUGCUAUAGCAAGAUCAUGUUUUUGUUUCUAUUGCAAUCUCUUUGUGCUUUUAUUCCUUUCUCUUUCCUCUCAGUAAGUCUCACAUGGCUCCUUAAUAGUCACAUAACGUACAGUAAGUACUUUUCUCCUUCCUCUCCCUUGUCCACCUCCCACCUCACGUUUUCUCUUUGCCCUUUAUCUUGCUGCCUUCAGCUGAAGCCAACGCCCCACAGAACCUCUCUGCUCUCCCACCCUGUGUGUCUAAUUCCCUCAGGACUACUGAGAGCAUAUAAUAUACUCGCGAGGAUGCACACUUCUUCCAGCAGCAGCAGUACGGUCAUGUCUCCCUCCCUGGGCCUGAAGCCAAAGGCCAGCGCCGGUGUUUUACAACCAACUGGAACUGCCGCCGCGGCACUUCCCCACCUCUGUCCGUGGCCUCCCCUCCAUUCCCCCUCCACUCCCCCUCCACCCCCCUCCACCCCCGCAGCCCUCCCGGGGAUCCGCGAAGAUAGGGAUUGAACAUCUCCGGAUGCCACUUUGCAUAAAUGUUUAAUAGCAGGGAAAGCAUUAGCAUCAGUAAUUAAAGCAGUAAUUUAAGCCUAGACGCCAUCAACAGGCGAGCUACUACCACGCUGGAGUAUCACCAGUGAAACACAAUAAUUAGCUUUGUGUUGAUUGGAAGGGAGAAUGGGUUCAGAGAAUGUGUUAUUUGUGUGUGUGCAUGUGUGGGUGUGUGUGAUUUUUUGCACUUGCACUGCAUGCGCAUUACACAGGAGGGCUUUCUUUUUUGCAUUUUGACUUCCUACCUCGCAGGGGAGCGUUUUGCAAAUAUUGUGUGAUUGCACUGGAUUCACAAUUGAUCUGCUUUGCCGCUCUCAAGAUCGAUUGCGUGUGUACAGAGACCCUGUGCACCCGCUUACGUGGAAUGGCAUUUGACAUUGGUUUAGAGAGAGUGUUUAACAUUGGCCCGAGGAGGUCAAAUAUUGUCUGGGCUUCUCUAAGGAAGCUGAUAUUGUCCUAUGUCAUCACCCAUGUCCUGUGAGCCUCUCCCUCCCGUUAAUUCCUCCUAAACUCUAGACUCUAACCUUUCAAUCCGUCUGGGACCUCCGGGACAGUACCCAGCAUUCUUUUUCAUUAAAGUGCUAUGAUAGCAAUAUGGCUGUGAGGAGGGAUGAUAUGUUUUGCUUUUUUUUUCCACUGGCAUCAAAAAUCGUUAGGAGUGCGAGGAGGUCAGCCUGGCUCGUAUCUGGCUUUUAAUGGCUCCUUAAAGCUAGGCCCCAGGGAUGGGUGUACAUACAAACACACUCACACACAAACUACAGGGUGUCUGAAACCAAGCCAAGACCCCGUUUUCAUCUCGCAUUUUUCUUCAUUUUCCCUCCUUUUGUUUCAUUCGCUUCCUUUCUCUAUGCAAAUAGUUGCAGCCUUUGAUGUAUUGCAAAAGACCACUGCUGGAGCUGCUGUAUAAUUUCUAAGUCGUUCUCGGCUCGAGUUAAUUCUGCUUCUAAUUCUUUUGUUCUAAAUUAAAUUUCUUAUUUUUUUUGUUUUGGUACAAGGCGCAUUUCUAUAGAAGACUGUUGUCAGAAAGUCUUAUUCAUUUAUCAACACAGUUAAACUUAUGACCUUUGACCUUUCAAGAGAUAGCACUUUUCCCUUUCGGCUGCACCCCGCUGCUUUUUUCUCAGUAUGCUGAUAGAGUUUCUGUGCAGUUAAAUUAAGCGUAUUGAGUUUGCAUCAGCAGUGGGGUGUUAUAUGGCCAGCUGGAUACACACACACACACACACAGAAUAAACAUGCGCACAUGCUUGCAAACACACAUUCCCGCGCUGCCAUGCGCACUCCUAUCUAUCCCAGCUGACAGCUUGUUAAUUGCCAGGGGGUUAACUGGAAGUGGUUGUGUAAUUGCAUCAGAGUUUUAUUUUACCUUGGCAUCCUAUUUAUUUACUUAGACAGCGUUAAUCGUCUCAGUGCUCCCGGACAAAGUGUUCCUCGACAGAAUGGAUGUCAGCCCGGACCCGGCCCUGUCAACCUCUUUUUUAUGCAAGAUAAAAUAACCUGUGGUGCUAUGGAAUCCAAUACUAUACCAUUUAAAAUGUAUUGAAAAAGAAGGUUUUCAUUUUUAAGAGUUCCAGUGAAGUUCUUCAAGGCUUCAGAGUAUUUCUUUCUAGCCUACAACAGGAUUUUCAUGAUAUAUUGCAGUGAUGGAUUGACUGGCCUCUGCAUGUUGGGCCGCUUGCCAAUUGCCUUUGUGC
ensembl:lncRNA